GGAAACGCGGGGCCAGCAGGGGGGGUAAUGCGUAGGGGGGGAGCGGUGUCCGGAAUGAUUGGGCGUAAAGGGCUCGUAGGCGGUUUGUGGCGUCGGGAGGGAAAUCCACUGGCGUAACUGGUGGCUGGCUUUCGAUACGGGCAGACUGGAGGUAUGCAGGGGAGAACGGAAUUCCUGGUGUAGCGGUGAAAUGCGCAGAUAUCAGGAGGAACACCGGUGGCGAAGGCGGUUCUCUGGGCAUGUCCUGACGCUGAGGAGCGAAAGUGUGGGGAGCGAACAGGAUUAGAUACCCGUGUAGUC
rnacentral:rRNA from 1 species